AGUGAACGCUGGCGGUAGGCCUAACACAUGCGAGUCGAACGGCAGCACAGUAAGAGCUUGCUCUUACGGGUGGCGAGUGGCGGACGGGUGAGGAAUACAUCGGAAUCUACUUUUUAGGGGGGGAUAACGUAGGGACACUUACGCCAAUACCGCAUACGACCUACGGGUGAAAGCAGGGGAUCUUCGGACCUUGCCCGAUUGUAUGAGCCGAUGUCGGAUUAGCUAGUUGGCGGGGUAAAGGCCCACCAAGGCGACGAUCCGUAGCUGGUCUGAGAGGAUGAUCAGCCACACUGGAACUGAGACACGGUCCAGACUCCUACGGGAGGCAGCAGUGGAGAAUAUUGGACAAUGGGCGGAAGCCUGAUCCAGCCACACCGCGUGGGUGAAGAAGGCCUUCGGGUCGUAAAGCCCUUUUGUUGGGAAAGAAGAGCAGCAAGUUAAUACCUCGCUGUUCUGACGGUACCCAAAGAAGAAGCACCGGCUAACUUCGUG
rnacentral:rRNA from 1 species